GUUAAUGUAGCUUAAUUUUAAAGCAAGACACUGAAAAUGUCUAGACGGGUACUCAUAACCCCAUAAACA
rnacentral:tRNA from 1 species